rnacentral:rRNA from 1 species
GACGAACGCUGGCGGCGUGCUUAACACAUGCAAGUCGAACGAUGAAGCCUUUCGGGGUGGAUUAGUGGCGAACGGGUGAGUAACACGUGGGUAAUCUGCCUUGCACUCUGGGAUAAGCCUGGGAAACUGGGUCUAAUACCGGAUAUGACUACUUCACGCAUGUGGGGUGGUGGAAAGUUCUGGCGGUGUGAGAUGAACCCGCGGCCUAUCAGCUUGUUGGUGGGGUGAUGGCCUACCAAGGCGACGACGGGUAGCCGGCCUGAGAGGGCGACCGGUCACACUGGGACUGAGACACGGCCCAGACUCCUACGGGAGCAGCAGUGGGGAAUAUUGCACAAUGGGCGAAAGCCUGAUGCAGCGACGCCGCGUGAGGGAUGACGGCCUCGGUU